GGAGGGAAGAGCCAGCGCACACUCGCGCGUGCGUGAGCUGGCGCGCGAGAUAGGGCCCGGUCGCGCCGAGGCUCGAGCGGCCGUCGCCAUUUUGUAGGGUUCUCUCUGACGCGGGAGCCGCCGCCACCACCGCCGCCGCCCGGAGGCUCUUGUCAGAAUGGUGAAGCUGUUCAUCGGAAACCUGCCCCGGGAGGCCACGGAGCAGGAGAUCCGUUCACUCUUUGAGCAGUAUGGGAAGGUGCUGGAAUGUGAUAUCAUUAAGAACUACGGCUUUGUGCAUAUAGAGGACAAGACGGCGGCCGAGGAUGCCAUCCGCAACCUGCACCAUUACAAGCUGCACGGGGUGAACAUCAACGUGGAAGCCAGCAAGAAUAAGAGCAAAGCUUCAACCAAGUUGCAUGUGGGCAACAUCAGCCCCACCUGUACCAACCAAGAGCUUCGGGCCAAGUUUGAGGAGUAUGGUCCAGUCAUCGAAUGUGACAUCGUGAAAGAUUAUGCCUUCGUACACAUGGAGCGGGCAGAGGAUGCGGUAGAGGCCAUCAGGGGCCUUGACAACACAGAGUUUCAAGGCAAACGGAUGCACGUGCAGUUGUCCACCAGCCGGCUUAGGACUGCGCCCGGGAUGGGAGACCAGAGCGGCUGCUAUCGGUGCGGGAAAGAGGGGCACUGGUCCAAAGAGUGCCCAGUAGAUCGUUCGGGCCGCGUGGCAGACUUUACCGAGCAGUAUAAUGAGCAGUACGGAGCUGUGCGUACACCUUACACCAUGGGCUACGGGGAGUCCGUGUAUUACAACGAUGCUUACGGAGCGCUCGACUACUACAAGCGUUACCGCGUCCGCUCCUACGAGGCAGUGGCGGCAGCAGCAGCAGCUUCUGCGUACAACUACGCAGAACAGACCAUGUCCCAUCUGCCUCAAGUCCAGAGCUCAGCUGUGACCAGUCACCUCAACUCCGGCGCUGUGGAUCCCUACGACAGACACCUGCUGCCGAACUCCGGUGCUGCUGCCACCUCAGCUGCUAUGGCUGCUGCCGCUGCCACCACUUCGUCCUAUUAUGGAAGGGACAGGAGCCCCCUUCGUCGUGCUGCAGCUGUGCUCCCCACAGUUGGAGAGGGCUACGGUUAUGGGCCAGAGAGUGAGCUGUCUCAGGCUUCAGCCGCUGCACGGAAUUCUCUGUAUGACAUGGCCCGGUAUGAGCGGGAGCAGUAUGUGGACCGAGCGCGGUACUCAGCCUUUUAAAGACUGGAGGUGUGAACCUCAAAUGGACUGAAUAACCCUGAGUUGGUUGCAGUCCCAGGAGCCUGAUGUUAAUGAGGCUGCCAGGAUGAAAUACUCCAGAACUGUUGGGGAUCCAAAUUCGGGUCUCACCCUAGCACAACUGAUUCAAGAACGUCACAACUUUUGAAGUCGAUUGGCACAGAUCAAGACCAAGAUUUGGCCCUUUGUCUGUAAUAAGUAGAGGAACUUGGUGACAGGACCAGGGCCCUUGUACUCGGAGCCAAGCUGCUCUCCAGGCAUUGUGUAAGCCUCUUGUGUUGUGCUCUCUUUCAGGUAGGAUAAUUGCGGACUGAACCCUCGGGCUGCGGUCAUAUAUGAGAACUUGCUCCGCGCGGUCCCUUUUGCCGGGAUGUUUCCAUUGCUUCAUGUUUCAGUAAACAAAGGAAUUUGUGACCAACUAUGUUUUCUUUCUUAAUUUAAUUCUAAGUUGACUUUUUCUUUCCUCCUGAUACAAGUCUCUGUAGCCUUUCACUCUGUUCCUUAUAUUCUCAGCCUCUGAGCAGCCCUAGGUAAGGAUUAUGCUGACACCCCCUUUCCUGUACAGUGGAACCCCUCUUAUCUUGCUUUCCUUAGGAGUUGAGCCCUUCUCUCUGUCCACCUGCAACAUCUCCUUUCCCUUUAAAAUGACCAUGUAGUGGCAAGCAACCUUUUACUCUUCUCUGUUAGCUCUGGACUCUAACAUUGAAGCUGAUCUUCUGAAUUUGCUAGGACCGUUGGGGUUUCUUGUGGGGGGGAGGGGGUUGUUGUUUUGUUUUGUUUUUUUUUAUGUCUGACCUGUGAUCGUGGUACAGCAUUAGCUGAAAUUUAGUCUUGUUUUUACUCCACUCCUCCCGCUUUUUUUUUUUUUUAAUAUUUUGACAAAUAAACGUUUCUAACACUUAAGUAUCUUUUUGUGUUUGUGUGACUGCUAUUUAACCAGUAUCUUCUGGUUCUUUCUCAGUUGUGCUCAGACUACAAAAUUUAAGUGAAUCGAUGUCUGAAAUCUAGAUGUAGAAGGAAGGAUUUAAGGAGAUAGGUAAUGUGGCCUCGACAAAGGAUUGAGAAAAAUUAGCCAGCAUCUCGAGACAUUGAUAAAUACGCUCCUUCUUUCUAAAUACCAGAGCUGCACUUUCCAUUUGAAAGGCUAGCAAAACCAGGUUAGUAGUGACAGAAGGGGGCCCUGCAGACAGUAGGAACCCUGUAUCAGGAAAAGGUGGAGCCAGAAUAUCACCAAGGACCUAUCAGGUUGACUCCAUUUGACUUUAUAGUAUGUUUGUUUAAAUUCACUUACAAACUAUUUUAAGAGUUCUCGCUUCCCAAGGUGUUAAUAUUUUGCUAGGAUUCGACUUUGGCUAAAAUGAGUAAGACAGUUGUGAUGGAUCAAAAGACAGGAAACGUCAUAUUUUGAGCAGAAAAGGCAAGAAGGGUAUUAAUGAUUGGCAGUGACAACAUUCUGCAAUGAAAUGCGUCCUCUAAAAUUUUAUGAAUAUGAUUGUAUAUUAUCGUUGCUUAGAUCCCCAUAAAAUGAGUUUAACGAUGGAUUCAGCCCUACUUCUGUUUUAUUGUGUUCUAUAUGGAAAUGUUGACAUGUAAAUUCUGACUACCUGUGAAUGUUUAUAAUUAUAUAGCAUUUCCCCCACAUAUUUUAUACUAGUAUUAAGAUAAUCUUGACAUAGGUGAAGCAAAAAUUUCCCGAUUUUUUGGGGGGAUGGAAUACAGCUAGAGAGAGAGAGGUUAACCUGUCAGUGCACACGCGCCAACUAGUGGGGGAAGUAACAAGGCCCAUUUCAGCUUCAGCAUUCCCUUAAGGGGACAGGACUGUCCCUGUUACACAAAAAGGAGAGUAAAGCAAAGCUCCUGGGAUUUCCUUGUGAUUGAUCUCCAACACACCAGGCAGAACAAAGAAAUAUGUAGGUGGUCCUCUGUGCUAACCUAACACAGUAGUUUAACAUGUCUUGAUUUCUAUCUCACUGUCAGGACAAGCAAAAAAAAAGACUGGCUUCUAUAAAACAGUUCUACAUCAGCAUCAUCCAGUAAAACUGGGCAGUACUGAAAGUGUUCCUUAUCUGUGCUGUCCAAUUUGUAGCCACCAGCUACCUGUGCUUAAGUAAUUAAAAUGUGGCUAGUGAAGCUGAGAGACUGAGUUUUUUAUUUUAAUUAUAAUUAGCCACAUGUGAUUAUUGAGGACUUGCAAUAUGGCCAAUGAAGCUGAGAAACAAUUUCCUAUAAUGUAAUUAGCCAUGUGUGGCUAGUGGCUACUGUAUUGGACAACAUAGUUUAGAUGGUAAAAUAAGUUUCUUAUGAGGAAAAAAAGCCUUGUGGAUCAUGGUAAAAUAUCCUUUCUGUAGAAAACCCUUUCAUUCCCCUCAAAAUAGGUAACACUGGGAAAGCAGUUAGUUUUGAGCCAAUGUAAGACAACUGUUGAGUAGGAACAAAUGUGUUUAUUUCGAAACGUCAGUUCUUAAAUGAGAAAUUUCAUGUUGUGGGUACAAAAUCCCUUUUAUUCACCAAGACCAUUUUUCUCCUGGGCCAUUUCAGAGUCCCAUGAGGCCUCACACUAAAAGUUCCUGAAUUCAUUUAGAUAGUUAUUUGAAUUCCUGCUGUGAGCCAGGAUUUGGGUGAUGAAUGAGACAUGUUCCUAGUAGAGAAGCAAACCUUAAUUGCAUCUGUGCUAAGUACUAUGGUGGGACCUAUACAGGGUGCUGUGAAAACACACUAGUGACUGAUGGGGGCCGGGGGGGGGGGGUUGAUUUUCCAAGCCAUGUGAAGACCAGUGAUGCCUGUCAGGAAACAGAAAAGGAGCUCUGUGGCAAAAAGAAAUCUGAAGAGGUAAGUUACAGGUACAGUUAAUGAAAGCCUUGCAGGUUGUAUUAAGGAAUUUCAUCUUGACCCUAAGACCAACUGGAAGCUAUUACAGGGUUUUAUGUUUGGAGGUAACAGGAUCAGACUCAUUUCUCUUAAAAGAUCAUUGAUUGGAGAGGAACAAAAGUGAGUAACAUUAUAAAUGUGAGAUUUGUCUGAUUUAUAAUGGGCCUCUCCUCGAAUGAAGCCAAUAGAGUCGAUGUUUUAAAGGAAGAAAAAGUACUUCAGACAGGAGGAAGACCAAGCAUGAGAACAUGUGAUGGGGGCAUUCUCGGGGGUGGGGUUUAAAUCCCUGAGGUUGGUUGAUAAGCUCUAAAUAACGGGAUGGGCUGCGCCUCUCCUCCCUGAACACUUGCGGAGCUACCUAAGGGCUUUGCACGAGGCACCCCUUAGUGCUGAGGGGCAAAGGAGAGGAGACAAGGUCUCACUCAGAUGAGAGACAAGAUAACGAUGAAAAUGGUAUAUUUGCUAUGAGAAAUGUAAAAUCGUUGAGAGUUCAGAGAAGGGCAAUUAUGCAUUCCUACCAAAACUAUAGUUCAUUUUUUAUGCCUUAAGAUUGAAACUUUAUUUCUCUCCUUUGAAAUAGAAAUGGACCUCUCGGUUAGCAGGCCAAAAAAGAAAAAGAAACAGACUUAUCAGUCCACAGAGAGUGAAAUGUUUGAGGGGUGAUGAAGGCCAAGGGGAAGUGCCUGGCUCAGUCUGGGGAAAAGAAAAAUGAAGACUUAACAUCCCUGGCCUUCCAUCUCAAUGAAUUUCUUCCUGAGUAGUCAGCUAUUUGAGGGGGUUUCUGGGGACAGAUACACACACACCCCAGCCACUUCAAGUAGGAGACAAAAUCACCCUAGCCUGACUUAAAUAAAUGAUUUAAAUAUUGCUGCCUGGGGGAAAAGCAUGCAGAUUCCCCUAGGUGCUGUGAACUCCCUGGGUCCUGCAACACCUCCCCGAGGGAGGGGGACGGGGGGGAGACCUACUGCACCACAGCUCCGACUUGGCCCAAGCUUUGCUCUGCCCUUGAGGCCUGCGGCAGCCUCCAAUCCACCUCUUCCUUUGACUUGCAGCUACACAGUGAAGUGAGACGUGGCACAGAAAGACACGAGGCCCUAAGGGUACUGGAUGACCUGCACAGUUUGUGUGGGCAGAAGGGCAGGAAAGGGUUGGCUAGUUCAAGGUAGCCCAGAAAAGGGAAGCAACUUGCCCAAAAUUGGCCUCAUGGCUUGUCAGGAUUUCGAUCACAAACCUGGUCCUCAGAGAUAAAAUCUCCUGCCCUAGGAGACUGGGGAAGGGAGAAGUAAAAAUGCAUUCCUAGGAAGAGCUGUCAGCUUGUCAGAAGAAUUCAUCUCAAGGGCUUUCUUAAGAUCAGGGCUGUGCUCUACUGCUCAUGAGAACUGAAGUGCAAGAAAUGACAGAUCGGCCCCAGAGAAAAGAGGGAAGUUCUGGCAAAAGGAUUUUUAUCAGUAGUGUAUUAGGUUUGCCAGCCCUUUGGAGGAUCCAGGCCAACUUCAAACCACAUUGCUCUGCCCCCACGCAGAAGUGGAGCUCGCACUGCCACAGGCCUCAGCAUUCACUAGGCUAAUGGCUGAAAUUCAGGCUCCCAGACUUAAAUCCAAGCCCUUUCUGUGGCCUUGGGCAUGUUACUUAACAUCUCGGGGCCUGUUUCCUCAUCAUAAAAUGGAAAUAAUAUAUACCUUCCUCUUAAGAGUUGUGCAGAGUGAAUGUAAAGCAUUCGAUUGGCUGUUACUACAAGUGUGCAAGCAAAAGACGGGGUCCCACCCCUCCUGGAGCUCACACACAAAUCUGUAACAAACUAUCAAGGACUAGCUGUGCAGGGAGGUCGAAGGUAUAGCUGUCAUCACUCCCUCUUCAGUCCUUCAGAUUCCUGUUCCCCUCCUUCCAUUUCUUGCCCAGCUGUGGGACCUAGAGACAAACCCACUCAAGCUCUGCAUUUAGGGAUCACCAGAUCGCAAAGCUAAGGGCUCUUUAGGUUAUCAAACAGUUCCACCAUCUCUGCCUUUCUUGACCUCUGGACGCUUAUGGGAUGGGGCGUCUCCAGCCUUAACUUCAGCAGCCAUCCGUGGUCCCCGGGUUCUGCCCCAAGGCCGGGUCCUGUGCUGGCACUGUUUCCUCAAUGACUGAUGGGUGACUGCUAAUGCAGUGGAUGGAUGGGGGCCAGGGCAGAGGGUAGGGGAUCCCCAAGAGGAACACAUUCAAAUGAUGCUGACAUACACACAUUUAUUAAAUGCCUAUUCAUAUGUCAGGCAGUUGCCAGGCAUUGGGGCAAUUUCCUAACCCCGAGGUUAAAAUUUUGUGAGGAAAAGUUAAUAAGUAAAAAGAAAAACUGGGGAAAGUACCACAAAGUACGCAAACUGGGCAUAAUGGGGAAGAAUGGCAAGGGGCACCUACUUAGCUGGAGGUUGUCAGAGAGCCCUCUGAGCUUGACCCUGAAGCUAAGACCUGAAGGAUAAGAAAUUCGCCCUAGUGACCAAAGGGAAGGUUCUUCCAGGUAGAAAGAAGGCCCGAGGCAGGAAAGUGGUCUAUCAAGAUCCGAAAAAGAGGACCAGUAUGGUCAGAAAAAGGUAGUUGAGGAAAGGGCCUGACUGGAGUGUCGGGCAGAGGCAGAUAUUUCAAAGAGCUUUAGGCCAAGGUAGAGGAUUGGUAUUUUAUUUUAAACACAAUGGGAUGUUGGUGAAGGUUCUAAGUUACGGUAUGACAGGCUGAUUUAUAGUUAACAUCAUCCCAGCUACUGAGUGGAGAUUGAAUUUAAGGAAGAGGAGAGAGGGAAGAAAGAAGAGAUGCCAGAAGGCAGGCCACUGCAGUGGUCCUUGGGGGUGACUGUAUGGUUUCAACUUUGGUGUGGCAAAGACAUGAACACAAGUGGCAACGUUUUCUGUGUGUUAAAAAAGGGAUGAGGGGGAGUGAGAAGUGAGGGGAGAAUCAAGGAUGACCACCAGGAAUCUGGCUGGAGCAGCUAGGUGGAUGGUAAUGCCAUUUAAAGAGAUGGGAAAGAUGGAGGAAGUUAUUUGGGAGCCAGGAGACUCAGGAGUUCUAUUUCAGACGUAAGAGCUAUGAGAUGUGUUAAGACAACCAAGAACCCUCAAGUACAGCAGGUCCUCAUUCAACCUGGCUUUGUUGUAACGUUGAUGAGACGCGCAGGAACUUAACUCGUUUAUGUCUGUGUUACAGCUGGUUUCGUUAUGCAUCGUUUUGCCAGUACUAAGAAACUAUCAUUUACAUUAAGUGAGGACUUACUGUCGGUCUUUAGAUCCCUGAAUUUUGAGUAGAGGAGCCAUUUGGGACAAAAGAUGUAAAUCUGAUUCGUCAGCAUCUAAAUCAGCAUUAUCCCCGAAAACGUGAGCCUCUUAUGUAACUGGGAAACUUCUAAUUGCCAUAUUUAGCAAGGUAAAAACAGGUGAAAUUAGUAUUUUUAAUAAUAUAUUUUAUUUCACCCAUAUAGCCAAAAUAUUAUCAUUUAACAUAUAAUAAUCAGUAAAAAUGAGUGUUAUUCUUUUUCACACGUUUCUGAAACGCCAUGAGUAUUACAGCACCGUAUGGCUCCUUCAGAAGGUAUACAAAGCCAAGGGAAGUGAUGAAUUCACCUAGAACAAGGUUUCAACCUUGGCGCUGAGACUUGGGGCUGGGUAAUCCCUAUGGCGUAGGGGGCUUACGCUACAGGAUCAGCAGUGUCACUGGCCUAGGGGUUGUGGGCUCCAGGGAAAUGAAAGGAAGGAGUGGAUUUCAUGUUAAAACUACAGGGGUCGUUUCCAGCAGAUGCAAAAACCCAAUCAAUGUCUGGAACAGCAACAUCAAGGUCUUCCCCCACUAUCACUUCUUAAACAAUCAGGUUUUUCUUUUCUCUUCUGCCCCUGUCCUCUGGACAACUGGUAGCAUUUAUUGAGGACCACUGUCCUCAAAGAGAAACUCCAUGUACCCGUUUGGAGAGAUGGGGGGUUAUCCAAAUUCCCAGGAACCAUGGGUACCGAUUCAAGUGUCAAGCUUUCAUGGCCUCUUGGCCAGACACAGCUUGCUUGAGCAGAGGAGCAAGAUUGGGGCUGGUGAUAAACAUCUGGAAAUCUUCAGACUCUAGACAGUAGGUAAAGCCCAGGGAACUGGAGACACCACCUAAAAGAGGAUGGAGAAAAGAGGGGACCGAGUCCUAUCCUCACUUUUACUGCCCCGAAAACUGGUCAGCUUCCUUUUCACCUUGAAAACCCAAAUCUGUUUAAAACAAAACAGGCCUUCAAGGACUGUCGAGAGGAAGAGCUGGUGCAAAUGCUGAGUGGGGAGGGAGAUCAAUUAGGAAACAACUUGGGAAAUCCAGGUGAAAAAUCCAGCCUGACUAGGCUGCUAACAGUCAGGGAGCCUGAGGACAGCCAAUAAGACUUCCUAUCGGGUUGAAUGUGGGUAUAACCCUCAAGGUUUUGGCCAGAGUAACUGAAAGGUGAAGUUGCCAUCAACUGAGAUGGGAGAAGGAAAGGGGGGGAGGACAGCAGAAAUUCAGUUUUAUACGAGCUGUGUUAGAAUUAUCAGACACCCAAGCAAAAAUAUCAAAUGGGUAGUAGGAUAUGAAUCGAGUUUGGGAGCAGCAUCUGGACUUAGAUACAAACUGGGAAUUUUUGUAGAUAGAAUGGUAUUUGAAUCCACAGGAUCACCAAAGACCAACAUCUGAACUACGGACCCUCCAACAUCAAGCGGUCAGAGAGGAAGAGGAACCAGCAGAGGAAAUGGAGAAGGUAGGAAAACCAAGAGUGUCGUGUCCUGGAAGUCAAAUGAAAUGUUAAGGAAGAGUAAUCAACUUUGUCAAAAUGCUAAUCUAAGACUUCACCAGGGGCUGACGGGAUUAACUGCAAAGCAGCACAAGUGCUUUUUGGGGUGACAAAAAUAUCCUAAUUGUGGUGAUGGUUACACAAUUGUACAAUUUAUCAAAAUAUGUCAAACUGUACUUGAAAUUGAUAUU